UACGGGGGGAGCAAGCGUUGUUCGGAUUUACUGGGCGUAAAGCGUGCGCAGGCGGUUGUGCAAGACAGAUGUGAAAUCCCCGGGCUCAACCUGGGAACUGCAUUUGUGACUGCACGGCUGGAGUGCGGCAGAGGGGGAUGGAAUUCCUAGUGUAGAGGUGAAAUUCGUAGAUAUUAGGAAGAACACCGGUGGCGAAGGCGGCCCACUGGUCCGGUACUGACGCUGAGGUGCGAAAGCGUGGGGAGCAAACAGG
rnacentral:rRNA from 1 species